rnacentral:rRNA from 1 species
GUGCCAGCAGCCGCGGUAAUACAGAGGGUGCGAGCGUUGUUCGGAAUUAUUGGGCGUAAAGCGCAUGUAGGCGGCUUGUUAAGUCGCGUGUGAAAGCCCUCGGCUCAACCGAGGAAGUGCGCGCGAAACUGGCGAGCUUGAGUGCCGGAGAGGGUGGCGGAAUUCCCGGUGUAGAGGUGAAAUUCGUAGAUAUCGGGAGGAACACCAGAGGCGAAGGCGGCCACCUGGACGGACACUGACGCUGAGAAGCGAAAGCGUGGGGAGCAAACAGGAUUAGAUACCCUGGUAGUCC